UGCGCUACGCUCAGCUGACCGGACAGCGGCUGGCCGUAGAGAGACGACAAGGCUGGUGUAAGUCUUCGCUCCAAUAGCUCGUUCAGGACCUGAGAGAGAAAAAGAGAUUCUUCCGGGCGCAGAUUGGCCUCAACAGUCAUCUGCAGACUUACAGAUCAUAAUCUCCCCCCAACUCCUAGGAUGACUAGAUACACAGCCGUUCGGGGAGAAUAAAUUAACACAAGGUUAAAGUGAUGAAGUGAAAACAGACUAGUUUGGCUGAUGUUUCGAACAUCAGUCUCUCGUCGGAGCCGUCUCAGAGAUGGAAGGGCAGGGAUCGUACAUUUCAGAGCGUCUAGUACUGUAAAAGCCAGGCACUUUACCUGUUUGUCUUUGAUGCUCUUGUUCCCGUCGUCUGAGGUUCGCGGUAGACCGUCACCGAUCAACAGAUCUGAGAGAACCUUAGAAGCGUCGGCGAACAUUCCCAAGUCAGUCAGAAUACGGACCUACCAAAUCAACACAUCCAUAAGAUCAAAAUGCCACGUUCACUCAAGAUGGUACCACGGUUUAGCGUUUCCAGUGGUUCUUAAACGUCCUCUAUACAGAUGCACCAGAGCCAUCAGAAAAAUAAAACGACCUGGAUAGCUGAUUAGAAGAACAAGUUUGGCAUAUGCGUGACAUGGCUUAACUGUUUAUAACCAUACCGUAAGAAGGUGCUGGGCCCUGGCUAACUCCUCUGCCACCCAGCGCAACGAGGCGACAACUGAGCGACCAUCACUUCUGAACACGUCGGACAGCAGAUCCACACCAGGGAGCAGGUCUGCACUUCCGUGGCCAGCCCCUAUCUCAUACAGGGCGUAGUCUUUAUCGUCCGUGGGGUGCGGUAGUGAGGAGCGCAAAAGGGCCUGGCGGCAAAAAUAACAAUAAGCUACUGUCUGACUGCACAGUGGUAAUCCAUCUUAAAGAGAUUUUCCAUGUCUAUCAAGACUCACUGUGCAAUAUUAGCAGCAAGCACGCCCGCCAGAAGGCAGCCCCAGAUGCCACAGCGCUGCAGUAACACUUCACCAGUUUGCUUGUGUUCCUCUCCACUCACUAUGUCCCGCCACGUCUUGAGGCAGUCUUGUGUGUUGAGGAUGGUGUCUAACGCCUCCGCCCACCACUUGUAAGCGGCCCUGUGUGUGACAAGUAAAUGAAAAAUAUUUAAAGGGGAUCCGUCAUGAGUUUUCGGUGGGCUACGGUAUGCUUAAAAGCUAAAUCACGCAAAAAUUUAACGCUUUAGCACAAGAUCGUGUCACACGAAGCCGAGUCGAGUAAUUUGGAUGCUUUUAUUAGUUAUUAAGAAUCAGACUUUUAGCUUUUGUAAAACUAUAUUAUACAAAACCUUGCCCAGAUGGGCAUCCGAUUACACGCCACUAUAAAGAGAAUGAAUCUUUGAGGUUCUCUUGGGCAUUCACUUGACACAUCAAACAGUUGAUAAAGUUUCGAUUCUCAGCGUAGCCGACUAGCAAUUUGAAACUCUGUGUGUACCCUAUAAAGAGAAUUGCUUAUGCCCUUACGUUGCCUAUUUCGUUAUGCUCUCUUUAACGCUAUGCUGCUUCGUAUCAGAUGUUACCGCUGUGGAACAUGAUGCUGCCCAGUUUAUGCAUUGCUUAUGCCCUUACGUUGCCUAUGUCGUUAUGCUCUCUUUGACGCUAUGCUGCUUCGUACCUGAUGUUACCGCUGUGGAACAUGAUGCUGCCCAGUUUAUGCAUUGCUUAUGCUCUUACGUUGCCUAUGUCGUUAUGCUAUCUUUGACGCUAUGCUGCUUCGUACCUGAUGUUACCGCUGUGGAACAUGAUGUUUCCCAGCUCAUGCAUGGCUUGUGCAGCAAGGCUUCUUUGCUGACGGAACUGCAGCAUUUCUACAAAAUAAUAUGGAAAAGCAGGUAUUAUUUCGCAUCAUUUUUAGUUUAUCUUUCGUAACAUCUUCACAUAUCAACCAAUGGCUGUCGCUUUAAUAAAUAGUCUAAAAGAGCCCGGGCGAGCGCGCGGGAAACCCGUGAUGUCUAAAAACGUUAGGGCCUGGGUCUAUUCUUCAAAAUAGUCUACGUAAACAUUUUCAGCGUACAUAGUUCUAGGGCGAUUAGAAAGAACGGAAAAAAAAUUGAACUGGAUUCCCAAAUAUGGUGUAUGACUCCCAAGUAUGGUGUAUUAACUAGAGUGUGUAGAGCUAUCAAAACGACAGGUUUUUUUUAAAUUAAAAUUAAUAUUGAUUGGUAUUGAUUGCGGCCAAAUAAAGAAGGCGUUGUUGA